rnacentral:rRNA from 1 species
AUUGAACGCUGGCGGCAUGCUUUACACAUGCAGGUCGAACGGCAGCGGGGAGGAGCUUGCUUCUCUGCCGGCGAGUGGCGAACGGGUGAGUAAUACAUCGGAACGUGUCGAGAAGAGGGGGAUAACCACCCGAAAGGGUGGCUAAUACCGCAUAAAUUCUGAGGAAGAAAGCUGGGGACCUAGGAAUAGGCCUAGCGCUUUUUGAGCGGCCGAUGUCGGAUUAGCUAGUUGGUGAGGUAAAGGCUCACCAAGGCGAAGAUCUGUAGCGGGUCUGAGAGGAUGAUCCGCCACACUGGGACUGAGACACGGCCCAGACUCCUACGGGAGGCAGCAGUGGGGAAUUUUGGACAAUGGGGGCAACCCUGAUCCAGCCAUGCCGCGUGUAUGAAGAAGGCCUUAGGGUUGUAAAGUACUUUUGUUAGGGAAGAAAAGUCAGCUGUGAAUAAUGGCUGAUACUGACGGUACCUAAAGAAUAAGCACCGGCUAACUACGUG